AGAACGAACGCUGGCGGCAGGCUUAACACAUGCAAGUCGAACGCUCCGCAAGGAGAGUGGCAGACGGGUGAGUAACGCGUGGGAAUCUACCUAAUUCUACGGAACAACAGUUGGAAACGACUGCUAAUACCGUAUACGCCCUACGGGGGAAAGAUUUAUCGGAAUUAGAUGAGCCCGCGUAAGAUUAGCUAGUUGGUGGGGUAAUGGCCUACCAAGGCGACGAUCUUUAGCUGGUCUGAGAGGAUGAUCAGCCACACUGGGACUGAGACACGGCCCAGACUCCUACGGGAGGCAGCAGUGGGGAAUAUUGGGACAAGUGGGCGCAAGCCUGAUCCAGCAAUGCCGCGUGUGUGAAGAAGGCCUUCGGGUUG
rnacentral:rRNA from 1 species